UACAGAGGGUGCGAGCGUUAAUCGGAGUUACUGGGCGUAAAGGGCGCGUAGGCGGUGAUGUGAGUGUGAUGUGAAAGCCCCGGGCUUAACCUGGGAAGUGCAUCGCAAACGACAUGACUGGAGUAGAUGAGAGGGUGGCGGAAUUUCCGGUGUAGCGGUGAAAUGCGUAGAGAUCGGAAGGAACGUCAAUGGCGAAGGCAGCCACCUGGCAUCAUACUGACGCUGAGGCGCGAAAGCGUGGGGAGCGAACAGG
rnacentral:rRNA from 1 species